GACGAACGCUGGCGGCGUGCUUAACACAUGCAAGUCGAACGGUGAAGCUCCAGCUUGCUGGAGUGGAUCAGUGGCGAACGGGUGAGUAACACGUGAGCAACCUGCCCCUGACUCUGGAAUAAGCGCUGGAAACGGCGUCUAAUACUGGAUACGAGAAGGGUCCGCAUGGGCACUUUCGGGAAAGUUCUUCGGCUGGGGAUGGGCUCGCGGCCUAUCAGCUUGUUGGUGAGGUAAUGGCUCACCAAGGCGACGACGGGUAGCCGGCCUGAGAGGGCGACCGGCCACACUGGGACUGAGACACGGCCCAGACUCCUACGGGAGGCAGCAGUGGGGAAUAUUGCACAAUGGGCGGAAGCCUGAUGCAGCGACGCCGCGUGAGGGAUGACGGCCUUCGGGUUGUAAACCUCUUUCAGCUGGGAAGAAGCGAAAGUGACGGUACCUGCAGAAGAAGCACCGGCUAACUACGUG
rnacentral:rRNA from 1 species